GGCGGUGUAGCUCAGUUGGUCCAGAGCAGCGGAAUCAUAAUCCGCGUGUCGGGGGUUCAAGUCCCUCCACCGCCA
rnacentral:tRNA from 1 species